GACGAACGCUGGCGGCGUGCUUAACACAUGCAAGUCGAGCGGUAAGGCCCUUUCGGGGUACGACGAGCGGCGAACGGGUGAGUAACACGUGGGUGACCUGCCCUCAGCUCUGGGAUAAGCCUGGGAAACCGGGUCUAAUACCGGAUAUGACUCCAUGACGCAUGUUGUGGGGUGGAAAGCCUUGUGCGGCUGAGGAUGGGCCCGCGGCCUAUCAGCUUG
rnacentral:rRNA from 1 species